GAAUCUUUAAAACGAGUAUUUAAUGGAAUCCUUGGUAAAGAAAUAAUUAAGGACGUUACAAAACGAAAAUCAUAAGUAGGUAUAGACCUGUGAUUUAUGAGUCUCCUUUUUGAGUAAACUCAAACAAUUUUUAAAAUGGUGUGAAUUGAAUCAUCUUAUUAGCACUAAAAAAAAUCAAACGAGAGGUCGUAAUUAGCGGUGAGCGAAAACGAUCUUGUAAGCUAAAUGACUUAAUUACAAAACUUGUAAAUUUAUAGCCCGAGAAGGUUUUAGCCCUGUACGAAGUUAAAAAAGUCAUUAUUUUAAGUAAUAUGAAACUUUAUUUUGUAUGAAAAUAGGAGAACCACCUUCUAAGCUUACAAAUUUCUUUAACCGAUAGUAAACGAGUACCGUGAGGGAAAGGUGAAAAAUUCCGAAAAGGAUUUAACUGAAAUUAAAUAUUUAUAAGUUUUCGAAGUUACAAAAACAACGAAGUGCCUUUUGCAUAAUGAGUCAGUAAGUUAAUAUGUAUAGCAAGUUUAAGUACUUAUACGAAGACAGAUAAAAGUUAUAUAUAUUAGACCUGAAGCCGGGUGAUCUAACUGCGAACAGGCUGAAAAUUCUUUAAAAUGUUUUUGAGGGCCGAACUCACGUAUGUAGCAAAAUACGGAGAUGAUUCGUAGUUAGGAGCGAAAGACUAAUCAAACUCGGCGAUAGCCGGUUUUUCACGAAACGUAUUUAAGUACUACGUUAAUAAAAUUUAAUUUUGGUUAGAGUACAAAAUAAAUAAGGGGGUUUAAAAGCUUACUAAGUUUAAUUUAACUCCAAAUUAUAGUUAAAUCAUUAUUAAUAGACAGUCUUUGGGCGAUAAGGUCUAAAGACAAAAGGAAAACAAUCCAGAUCGAAUACUAAGAUUUUUAAAUCAUGGCUUAGAGAGAAAGAUUUUAAAAGAAUCAAAUAUAAAACUAGAUAGGCUUAGAAGCAGCCUUUCAUUAGAGAAAGCGUUUUAGCUCAGUAUUUUUCUUUUUAGAAUUUAAAAUAUAAGAAAACUUUAAGUUAUGUAUCGAAGUAACGAAUUAAUAGUAUUAAUGGUAGUGAAACGUUCUGUAAUUUUCUUAUCAUUGUAAGAUUGUAAGAUUUAUAUCAGAAGUGCUAAUGCUGACAUGAGUAGCGAAAACUACGUUAAAAAUCGUAGUCACUUUAUGUUUAAGGGUUUCAAUGUAAUUUUAAAUUCAUUGAGUUAGUCGGUCCUUAAGAGGUGAAUGAAAAUUGUACUCGAUAGGAAUUCAAUUUUUUGGUACUAUCUAUAUGUGACAAAAGUCAUGAAAAGGAGUAAAAAUUAUUUUAUUUUACUUUUUGGUAUAAAUGAAACUUUUUUGCUUCUCAAGAAAAAAUUAUAGUCAUAAAACCGUACUUAAACCGACACUGGUAAACUUAUCGAAAAGAUUAAAGUGAAUGAAAUAACUGUAUUGAAGGAACUCGGCAAAUUAACUCUGUACGUUCGCAAUAAAGAGGGCCGUAAGCGCGGUAGCAUAAAAUAAGAAGCAACGACUGGUUACCAAAACCACAGGGCUCUGCAAAUUAAAAAAAUAAGUAUAGAGCCUGACGCCUGCCCAGUGCUUAAAAACGAUAGAUUUAGGUUACAGCUUAAAUUAUAACUUUAAGUAAACGGCGGUUCUAACUAUAAGAAUCCUUAGGUAGCGAAAUUCCUUGGCGGGUAAAUUCCGUCCUGCAUGAAAGGCGCCACGAUUGCUUCACUGUCUCCAAUACAGGUUCAGCGAAAUUACACAACUCAUGAAAAUGUGAGUUACUUACAGUAAGACGGAAAGACCCUAGAUCCUUUACUCUAUUCUUGUAUUGUAGGAAUUAAAUAUUAUGUAGAAUAAGUGGGAGUUAACAACACAAAAAUGAAAUACCACUUAAUACUUUAAUGUUCUACUUAUUUAUACUUGUAAGUUUAAAGAUCGUACAAGAAAGAGAGUUUACUUGGGACGAGUACCUCCUAAAAUGUAACGGAGGUGUGCAAAAGGUAAACAACAGUUAUUUGAUAAAAUAAUGAAGCGUGCAAUGGCAUAAGUUUGCUUAACAAAUAGAUUAAUCAAUCGAAUUGAGACGUAAGUCGGCCAUAGUGACCCGAUACUUAAGUGUGGAAUUAGUAUCGUUCAACAGAUAAAAGGAACUCUAGGGAUAACAGAUUCAUCGUGACUGAGAGUUCUUAUUGACGUCACGGUUUGAUACCUCGAUGUCGACUCAUCUUAUCCUGGAAUUGAAGCAGAUUUCAAGGGUCUAGUUGUUCGCUAGUUAAAAAGGUACGUGAGUUGGGUUCAGAACGUCGUGAGACAGUUCGGUCCCUAUCUGCUGUAAGAAUAGAAAAAUAAAAAGUUUAUCUCUAGUACGAGAGGAUCGAGAUAUGUUAACCUCUGGUGUAUCGAUUGUUAUACCUGUAGCAUUGUCGAGUAGCUAAGUUAAUUUUGUAUAAGUACUGAAAGAAUCAAAAGUACCAAGACAUUUUUAUUAAUUUUUCAAGAAUAUUCUAGAAGAUUACUAGAUAGAUCGGUUUAAACUAAAAGUUUAGUAAUAAGCUUUUUUACAAAUACGAAUUAUUCAAAAAGAU
rnacentral:rRNA from 1 species